rnacentral:rRNA from 1 species
AGUGAACGCUGGCGGUAGGCCUAACACAUGCAAGUCGAACGGCAGCACAGUAAGAGCUUGCUCUUACGGGUGGCGAGUGGCGGACGGGUGAGGAAUACAUCGGAAUCUACUUUUUCGUGGGGGCUAACGUAGGGAAACUUACGCUAAUACCGCAUACGACCUACGGGUGAAAGCAGGGGAUCUUCGGACCUUGCGCGAUUGAAUGAGCCGAUGUCGGAUUAGCUAGUUGGAGGGGUAAAGGCCCACCAAGGCGACGAUCCGUAGCUGGUCUGAGAGGAUGAUCAGCCACACUGGAACUGAGACACGGUCCAGACUCCUACGGGAGGCAGCAGUGGGGAAUAUUGGACAAUGGGCGCAAGCCUGAUCCAGCUAUACCGCGUGGGUGAAGAAGGCCUUCGGGUUGUAAAGCCCUUUUGUUGGGAAAGAAAAGCAGCAGGUUAAUACCCCGCUGUUCUGACGGUACCCAAAGAAUAAGCACCGGCUAACUUCGUG